GUCCUAGCCCUAAACGAUGGGUACUAGAUUGUGGACUAGACAUGGGUUCACAGUCGAAGCAAAAGUGAUAAGUACCCCGCCUGGGGAGUAUGGUCGCAAGGCUGAAACUCAAAGGAAUUGACGGGGGCUCACACAAGCGGUGGAGCAUGUGGCUUAAUUCGAGGCUACGCGAAGAACCUUAUCCUGGGCUUGACAUGUGCGAAAGCGGUCGGAAGUAGAACACGGAAACGUGAACCAACGGUAUCCAACCCGGAACCGACUACAGGUGCUGCAUGGCUGUCGU
rnacentral:rRNA from 1 species